GCCAGACUCCUACGGGAGGCAGCAGUGGGGGAUAUUGCACAAUGGGGGAAACCCUGAUGCAGCGACGCCGCGUGAGUGAAGAAGUAUUUCGGUAUGUAAAGCUCUAUCAGCAGGGAAGAAAAAAGACGGUACCUGACUAAGAAGCCCCGGCUAACUACGUGCCAGCAGCCGCGGUAAUACGUAGGGGGCAAGCGUUAUCCGGAUUUACUGGGUGUAAAGGGAGCGUAGACGGCAAUACAAGUCGGAAGUGGAAUCCCCGGGCUCAACCUGGGAACUGCUUUGGAAACUGUAUGGCUAGAGUGCUGGAGAGGUAAGCGGAAUUCCUAGUGUAGCGGUGAAAUGCGUAGAUAUUAGGAGGAACACCAGUGGCGAAGGCGGCUUACUGGACAGUAACUGACGUUGAGGCUCGAAAGCGUGGGGAGCAAACAGGAUUAGAUACCCCCGUAA
rnacentral:rRNA from 1 species